UUCUAUUACAUUAAAGGUGUCUCAGAAAAUUCUGCUACAAUGUUCAAGUCCAUUAAAUUAACAAGUGACUUCUUUGCCUGAUUUUUCUACCAACCCAUAUGCUUAAAGGCUGUCUCUUGCCCAUUUUACUAUUUUUUCUGUGUCCUCUCACUUUCUGCAUUCUUGUCUGUUCCAAGUUCCAAUUUUCUUCAGCUCACCCUCUUUAUCUCCAUGAAAGAUGCAAGAAAGAAAGAAAGAAAAGAAGAAACAAACUAAAAGCUAAACCUUAAAAAAGGCUGACCUUGAACUCCUGGGCUCAAACAGUCCUCCUGCCUCAGCCUGCUGAGUAGCUCGGACUAUGGGCAUAUGCCACCAUGCCUGACUCUUAAUGCUGUCUUUUGAUGAAGUGGAUGACAAGAAUCUGUGAUUUGCAUAUGCCCUGCAGAAGAUAAGGUAUGGAUAUUUAGGACUAGUCUAUCGUUAACCAAUGUGGAUUACAGACUAAUUACUUUCUGGACACUAAGAAUAAUUUAAAAAUACCCCAAGAUUUCAAAAGGAAAUGAAAGAAAGAAAAGUAAGCAAAACUAACUUCAUGAAUUAAUGUAUCCUGGAAGGGGAUGUUACAUUGACUCUCAUUACUAUAAUAUCAUUGUGGAUUUCAGUGGUUUUCCUGGAAUGCUGAAAAGAAGUGCUACUGGAAGCCCCCUGGCAGUUAAGUAAACAUUUACUUGUGGUGAAAUAAUUCCUGAAAGCGGCAUUUAUUCAAUAAACAUUUAUUGAGCAACUACACACACACAAUUGCACACACACACACACACACGUAUAUGUAAACAUAUGUUUAUAUACUAUAUUGUCACAUAGAAAAUGCUUGGGGAUACAACAGUAAACAAAGCCGAUCAAAAUCUCUGAUCUCUCUUUUUUUUUUUUUUUUUGAGAUGGAGACUCACUCUGUCACCCAGGCUGGAGCGCAGUGGCAUGAUCUCGGCUCACUACAACCUCUGCCUGCCGGGUUGAAGUGAUUCUCCUGCCUCAGCCUCCUGAGUAGCUGGGAUUACAGGCGCACACCACCACACCUGGCUAAUUUUUGUAUUUUUAGUAGAGACGGCUUUUCACCAUGUUGGCCAGGCUGGUCUUCAACUCCUGACCUCAGGUGAUCCGCCACCUCAGCCUCCCAAAGUGCUGGGAUUAUAGGCAUGAGCCACCGCACCCGGCCAAAAAUCUCUAACCUUAUAGAGGUUUUACUCACCAUUUUAUCUUUAGCACCUCAAAGACUGCUUAAUAUUUGUGAAUUAGUUAAUUAAUGUUUCUUAAGACCUGCUCACAAUCUGUAUUUCCUUAAGUCUUGAUGGCCUUCCAUUCUAGAUGUGCUAUUGCAUAGCAGAUCCCAUAGAUAAGGAAGAAAGGCUGUGAUUCUCCCGAAGAGCUCAGAUAAUGAAAAUGAGAAUGAUGAUAACUCCAAUGCCAGCAUGACCCAGAUAUCAUAAAAAAUGAACACUAAAUGGAAGAACGCAUCACUGGCUUAGGGAGAUAAACAACAAAAACAGAAUAUACUGUACACUGUACAGAAAAGAACCUGGGAUUGGACAUACUGGAGAAGGAGAUGUGAAAGCAUAUACGAAGAUGGAAUCUCAUAGGCCUUCAACUGGUAAGUUGAGAAGGCAGAAGCUUCUACCUCAUGAAUGUUAAGCCAAUACAUAGAGGAGAGCAAACAAAACCUAGAUACAGAACAAAAGUUUUGGGGUCCUACGCAAGAAUUUGCUGAAGUUAAAAGAGAAAUGAGCUACUAUUACACACGACAUGGAUGAAUCUCAAAAUCAUCAUGUUGAAAGAAGCCAGACACAAAAGAGGAGAAGACUCGACAUUUGCAUUGGCUUCUCAAAAGGGUUUCAACUACACAAAAAGUGUUUAAAAAUCCAGUUAUAUGGAGAAACAAGAUCAAUUUAUUGUCAAAAGACAGAAUUAUUCCUCUUUUGCAUCAACCAGGCUUGACAUAACUGUAAUCUCAUGGAAAUGUCUGCUACUGUAAUCAAGAAUUUGCAUGUAGAAGGAAUGCAUCACAGAAUAUAUGACAUCUUGCUAUGUCUACUGUACUAAAGAAUUAAAGAGGUUUGAAAAUAAAUACUGAAACAAAUCAGAAAGGAACCUCAAUUUUAUUAAACUAAAAUAUCAUAGCUAGGAACAUCUCAAAUUGAGAAUAAAGUUUAUAUAAUAUUUCAGAGUCAUAUGAAUGUCAUAAAAUAAUAAAAAUGUACCAUAUAAUUAUUUAAAAAGCACAAGUCUAUAAAUUGGAAACAAUGACCAGCUAAGAGAUGACAGGUAGGCUGAAACUCAACCUAUUUCCAAACCACUAAAGAAGACAUAAAUCAACUUAAAGGGAAAAUUACAUUUGUAGGUUUAUAAACAUAUUUUUAAAAACCACUCCUAUAAAGCAAAAGAUAUAAAAAGAAAACUUGAGAAAUGAUAAAAGGAUAAAGGAUAAAAAAUUAACAAAGCUAUAUGUUAGGCCACUUUGGUUCAUGCAAUUUUCUUUUGUUUCUCUCUAAAAUGGUAUAUCAAUUUUUAUUUUUCACAAACUUCUUUCAAUUAAGAAAGAAAAUACAUUU
rnacentral:lncRNA from 10 species